rnacentral:tRNA from 1 species
CGGAGCAAGUGGGCCUUGAUCCCACAAAAAUUAGUUAACAGCUAACUACCCUAACCAGCGGGCUUUCACUCG